rnacentral:rRNA from 1 species
UACGAAGGGGGCUAGCGUUGCUCGGAAUUACUGGGCGUAAAGGGCGCGUAGGCGGGUGUUUAAGUCAGAGGUCAAAUCCCAGAGCUCAACUCUGGAACUGCCUUUGAUACUGGACACCUAGAGUACGGGAGAGGUGUGUGGAACUCCGAGUGUAGAGGUGAAAUUCGUAGAUAUUCGGAAGAACACCAGUGGCGAAGGCGGCUCACUGGCCCGGUACUGACGCUGAGGUGCGAAAGCGUGGGGAGCAAACAGG